GCUCUCUGCGCCUCUUGGGGAUGGUCCUGUUCACCUAACCCCCCCCAACCCUCUGCCUGCAACUUCCUCCCUAUUUAGACACCUGUGGCAAAUGUUGAUCCUGAAUUCAAAUUCUGGUGCAACUCCCUCGCUAGCUGUGUGAAUUUCCCUUUCUAGGCCUAUCUCCUCAUCUGUGACAUGAGGAAUAGUUUAAAUGUGUGGUUCCCAAAUUACAGCUGCCUUGGAGUGAUCACAGGAGAUUCAGUCCCUGGCUCCAUAAAGACCGUCUCCUCAGGCGAGGGGAAGGGACUGAGAGAAGAAAAGGUACUGAACGAGGCACGGAUGGCCACCCCAAGUUCUUUCUUCUAACUUAAAGCCCUGGGAACAUACCUCUCACCUUUCUCCUCCCAGAGCUGCACCAGCCUGCAAGAGGAGUGAAGAAGUUGCUAGAAACAGAAUUCUGGUCCCCCCACCCCCCUCCUCAUCAUCUGAUACCAUCAGACCUCAACAGUCUCUGUGCUAAGAGCCCC
rnacentral:lncRNA from 1 species